rnacentral:rRNA from 2 species
GGGUUGUGAGGUUAAGCGACUAAGCGUACACGGUGGAUGCCCUGGCAGUCAGAGGCGAUGAAGGGCGUGCUAAUCUGCGAUAAGCGCCGGUAAGGUGAUAUGAACCGUUAUAACCGGCGAUACCCGAAUGGGGAAACCCAGUGUGAUUCGUCACACUAUCAUUAACUGAAUCCAUAGGUUAAUGAGGCGAACCGGGGGAACUGAAACAUCUAAGUACCCCGAGGAAAAGAAAUCAACCGAGAUUCCCCCAGUAGCGGCGAGCGAACGGGGAGGAGCCCAGAGCCUGAAUCAGCAUGUGUGUUAGUGGAAGCGUCUGGAAAGGCGCGCGAUACAGGGUGACAGCCCCGUACACAAAAGCGCAUAUGCUGUGAGCUCGAUGAGUAGGGCGGGACACGUGGUAUCCUGUCUGAAUAUGGGGGGACCAUCCUCCAAGGCUAAAUACUCCUGACUGACCGAUAGUGAACCAGUACCGUGAGGGAAAGGCGAAAAGAACCCCGGCGAGGGGAGUGAAAAAGAACCUGAAACCGUGUACGUACAAGCAGUGGGAGCCCCACCACUAAGCCAGUGGUGAACUCCACAUACGCAUCCUUUGCUGAGGAGACGGUUAACGGAGCGAAAGCGACGUUCAACCUCAAAAGAAGCAGAGGGGGCUUAGUGGUGGGGUGACUGCGUACCUUUUGUAUAAUGGGUCAGCGACUUAUAUUCUGUAGCAAGGUUAACUGUAUAGGGGAGCCGGAGGGAAACCGAGUCUUAACCGGGCGUUAAGUUGCAGGGUAUAGACCCGAAACCCGGUGAUCUAGCCAUGGGCAGGUUGAAGGUUGGGUAACACUAACUGGAGGACCGAACCGACUAAUGUUGAAAAAUUAGCGGAUGACCUGUGGCUGGGGGUGAAAGGCCAAUCAAACCGGGAGAUAGCUGGUUCUCCCCGAAAGCUAUUUAGGUAGCGCCUCGUGAAUUCAUCUCCGGGGGUAGAGCACUGUUUCGGCUAGGGGGCCAUCCCGGCUUACCAACCCGAUGCAAACUGCGAAUACCGGAGAAUGUUAUCACGGGAGACACACGGCGGGUGCUAAUGUCCGUCGUGAAGAGGGAAACAACCCAGACCGCCAGCUAAGGUCCCAAAGUCAUGGUUAAGUGGGAAACGAUGUGGGAAGGCCCAGACAGCCAGGAUGUUGGCUUAGAAGCAGCCAUCAUUUAAAGAAAGCGUAAUAGCUCACUGGUCGAGUCGGCCUGCGCGGAAGAUGUAACGGGGCUAAACCAUGCA